rnacentral:rRNA from 1 species
AGGACGGACGCUAGCGGCGUGCCUAAGGUAUGCAAGUCGAACGGGGGCCGUUCUUCGGAGCGGCUCUAGUGGCGAACGGUCGAGUAACACGUAGACAACCUGCCUCCAAGUGGGGGAUAACAGCGGGAAACUGCUGCUAAUACCGCAUGUGGCCCCGAGUGGCAUCGCUCGGAAGCUAAAGGAUUUAUUCGCUUGGAGAUGGGUCUGCGGCCUAUCAGGUAGUUGGUGGGUAACGGCCUACCAAGCCGUCGACGGGUAGCUGGUCUGAGAGGAUGAUCGAGCCGGACGGGGACUGAGACACGGCCCCGACUCCGUUCGGGAGCAGCAAUGAGAUAUGCGCAGUCGGGGAAACCUGACGCAGCGACGCGCGGUGGUGAGGAAGUCC